ACCCCCCACUUCUGAAGGUUGACCUCGGAUCAGGUAGGAAUACCCGCUG
rnacentral:rRNA from 1 species